rnacentral:rRNA from 1 species
GACGAACGCUGGCGGCGCGCCUAAUACAUGCAAGUAGAACGCUGAAGGAGGAGCUUGCUCUUCUGGAUGAGUUGCGAACGGGUGAGUAACGCGUAGGUAACCUGCCUGGUAGCGGGGGAUAACUAUUGGAAACGAUAGCUAAUACCGCAUAAGAGUAGAUGUUGCAUGACAUUUACUUAAAAGGUGCAAUUGCAUCACUACCAGAUGGACCUGCGUUGUAUUAGCUAGUUGGUGGGGUAACGGCUUACCAAGGCGACGAUACAUAGCCGACCUGAGAGGGGGGGCGACCACAGUGGGACGGGGGCGCCGCCCAACACCCUACGGGAGGAGGCAGGAGGGGAUCUGGGGCAAGGGGCGGAGGCCUGACCGAGCACCGCCGGGGGGGGAAAAAAUGUUUUGGGAUCGAAAAGCUCUGUUGAAAGAGAAGAAGGAGUGGGGGGGGGAAAAGUCCACACUGUGACGUUAUCUAACCAAAAAGGGACGGCUAACUACGUG